rnacentral:rRNA from 1 species
UACAGAGGGGGCCAGCGUUAUUCGGAAUUAUUGGGCGUAAAGGGCGCGUAGGCGGCCAUGCGUGUCUUCCGUGAAAUCCCUCGGCUUAACUGAGGACGUGCGGAAGAAACUGCAAGGCUUGAGUCCGGGAGAGGGGGGUGGAAUUCCCAGUGUAGCGGUGAAAUGCGCAGAUAUCGGGAGGAACACCUAUGGCGAAGGCAGCUCGCUGGGACGUUACUGACGCUGAGACGCGAAAGCGUGGGGAGCGAACAGG